UGUCCUUUUAACACCAAAGACAUUCAAAAUGAUAGAGAAACUAAACACCAGCGCCCACCAGCAACUUCCCUAUGUUGGAAGAGUUCCAAGGAAUAACCGGCAUGGAGGCCUUUGGUCAGGACAGGAAGAGGUAGGGCGCAGGGGUAUUGUGACAUGUUUCAGGGAAGGGCAGCUUUUCCCUUGGCCAACGGAGGCUCAGGCCCAGAGGGGCAAGAGAACCGGACCGGGCAUGGAGCCUGGGGCCGAGCCCUUCGUGGCCCCGCAGGACGGGGAGGCCGAGCCACAGCAACAGGCUCCGACCCAGUGCGCAGAGGGACAUGGCCAGGUGCUGCUGCUGGGCGAGCUCUGGAAGCAGGAGGAGUGCUGCCUGACCCUGCAGAACAUUCUGGAGCAGGCCUCGACCGAUCAGCCCGCCGGGCCCUCGUCCAUCCGAGCCACGAGCAGCCACAGCAGCACCAGCAACCGCGCCAGGCGGCGGCCCAAGCGCUCCGGCGACAUCUCGUCGGACAACGCUGACUGCCCGGCCGCCAAGUCCAAGCGCUCCACCCAGAGGCGGCCGUGCGACAGGGGCAAGGCUGCAGACCCGCCCGAGCGCGAGCGCGAGCGCGAGGUGUCUCCGGCUCCGGCCGGGACUCCCGGCCUCGGGGCGGCAGAGGACCCGGCGGCGGGAUGCGCGGCGCCUCCGGAGCAGGGCGCGCGCCUGCUCCUGGUGCUGUGCCGCGCGUCGGCGCUGCGCUCCCAGCUGCCGCGGCUGCAGCUGCUCCUGCAGCAGGUGCACGCCCGGGGCCGCAGCCCGCCCGCCGCGCUGGUCGGGAUCAUCGUGCAGCCGCGGCGCGACGAGGAGGCCGACGCGCGCCGCCGCAUGGAGAGCCUGCUCUGCAGCGCCUUCGCGCCGCACAGCCCCACCGUGGAGGUGCACACGGCCGUGUUCUGCCCCAGCCGCCCCGAGGGCACCCUGGACGUCCAGCGCGCCACCUGCCGAGGGCUUAAGGGCGCGGCGCGGGGCUGCGUCCCCUUCGUGGAUCGGGAGACCCAGACGGAUGGAGACCUACAAGAAAACUCUCCAUUCACCGCAAUUCACGUGCUCCAAGCCCUCGGGACUGUUGCUGUGGCUCUGGGGGCCCUGGGAGCUGCCUACUACAUCACUGAAUCCUUGUGAACAACCCCCAGGCCCGCAGCCCGGCAGCUGAGUGUGGACAGACAGAUGUGUGCUUCCCCUUCCUGGUGCCAGAACUCAUACCCAUCUGUAAAGUGAACAGAGGAAGGACCCUGCACCAGCACCCAGGUUCAUGGCCUCAUCAGCUUUUGACUGGAUGGGCAGAUCCAGAUCCAGUUUCCAUCAAGGAUCUCUCUUGUCACCAAAAUAGAAAAAAAAAAA